UUGCCAUUCUGGUGGCAGUGAGAUGGAAUCUCAGUAUAGUUUUAAUUUGCCUUUCUCUCAGUUCUAGAGAUAUUGAAUGCUUUUUCACAUAUUUGUUAGCCAUCCAUAUUUCUUCCUUCAAAUUGUGUCCAUUUAGUUCCUUUUCCAUUUAUUGAUUGUUUCAUACAUUGUUUUGGUGUUAAGUUUUAUGAGUUGUAGGUAAUUAGGAAUGAUGUAGGAAAGAAUACAA
rnacentral:lncRNA from 1 species